rnacentral:lncRNA from 1 species
CUCCUAACUCCUAAGUAUGUUUUUACUCGAACAAAAAAAGAGGCUUGAAAAAUAGAGUUACAAGCCGAAGACGUGAGAAUUUCAUCCGUAUGCUUGUGUCUCCCUCCGCCAUGCUCUGGCUUAUGAAGUUGCUUAUUUUUUUCUUCUCUUCUCUCACUGAAAUCUUGUUAAAAUCAAUUAAGCAGCUCUUACUCUACAAGAAACAAGCAAGAAGACCUUGAAAUUAAUGAGCUGAUGACACUGAGAAAGUCACAAGGAUUGAGACAUUAAAAAUGCACUGCUCGUUUUGUUUAUGUUUUUGCUUUUGUUUACAUGAACUUCACGUGUAAUUGAGUUGUGGAAGAUUGUGUAUUUUCUAGGCCAGUUCAGAUCCACAUACAAAUGGAAUCUUUAUGCAAAUAAGUCGAUGGACAUUUCAAUUGCUCAUUAGCUUACUGUUUCUAUUUUACAUCUUCUUCUUCUUUCAAUUUAGUGCUCAUAAGUUUUGGCAG